rnacentral:rRNA from 1 species
AAUCAUGCGCAAUGGGCGAAAGCCUGACGCAGCCAUGCCGCGUGAAUGAUGAAGGUCUUAGGAUUGUAAAAUUCUAUCACCGGGGACGAUAAUGACGGUACCCUGAGAAGGAGCCCAGGCUAACUUGGGGCCAGCAGCCGCGGUAAUACGAAGGGGGCUAGCGUUGCUCGGAAUUACUGGGCGUAAAGGGCGCGUAGGCGGAUCGUUAAGUCAGGGGUGAAAUCCCGGGGCUCAACCUCGGAACUGCCCUUGAUACUGGCGAUCUUGAGUAUGAGAGAGGUAUGUGGAACUCCGAGUGUAGAGGUGAAAUUCGUAGAUAUUCGGAAGAACACCAGUGGCGAUGGCGACAUACUGGCUCAUUACUGACGCUGAGGCGCGAAAGCGUGGGGAGCAAAC